CCUACGGGCGGCAGCAGUGAGGAAUAUUGGUCAAUGGACGAGAGUCUGAACCAGCCAAGUAGCGUGAAGGAUGACUGCCCUAUGGGUUGUAAACUUCUUUUAUAUGGGAAUAAAACGUUCCACGUGUGGGAUUUUGUAUGUACCAUAUGUAUAAGGAUCGGCUAACUCCGUGCCAGCAGCCGCGGUAAUACGGAGGAUCCGAGCGUUAUCCGGAUUUAUUGGGUUUAAAGGGAGCGUAGGUGGAUUGUUAAGUCAGAUGUGAAAGUUUGCGGCUCAACCGUAAAAUUGCAGUUGAAACUGGCAGUCUUGAGUACAGUAGAGGUGGGCGGAAUUCGUGGUGUAGCGGUGAAAUGCUUAGAUAUCACGAAGAACUCCGAUUGCGAAGGCAGUUCACUGGACUGCAACUGACACUGAGGCUCGAAAGUGUGGGUAUCAAACAGGAUUAGAUACCCCAGUAGUC
rnacentral:rRNA from 1 species